rnacentral:rRNA from 1 species
UACGUAGGGUGCGAGCGUUGUCCGGAAUUAUUGGGCGUAAAGAGCUUGUAGGUGGUUUGUCGCGUCUGCUGUGAAAAUCCGAGGCUCAACCUCGGACUUGCAGUGGGUACGGGCAGACUAGAGUGUGGUAGGGGAGACCUGGAAUUCCCUGGUGUAGCGGUGGAAUGCGCAGAUAUCAGGAGGAACACCGAUGGCGAAGGCAGGUCUCUGGGCCAUACUGACACUGAGAAGCGAAAGCAUGGGA